AUUGAACGCUGGCGGCAUGCUUUACACAUGCAAGUCGAACGGCAGCGCGGGCUUCGGCCUGGCGGCGAGUGGCGAACGGGUGAGUAAUGCAUCGGAACGUGCCCAGUAGUGGGGGAUAGCCCGGCGAAAGCCGGAUUAAUACCGCAUACGACCUGAGGGUGAAAGCGGGGGACCGAAAGGCCUCGCGCUAUUGGAGCGUCCGAUGUCGGAUUAGCUAGUUGGUGGGGUAAAGGCUUACCAAGGCGACGAUCCGUAGCUGGUCUGAGAGGACGACCAGCCACACUGGGACUGAGACACGGCCCAGACUCCUACGAGAGGCAGCAGUGGGGAAUUUUGGACAAUGGGGGCAACCCUGAUCCAGCCAUGCCGCGUGCGGGAAGAAGGCCUUCGGGUUGUAAACCGCUUUUGUUCGGGAAGAAAUCCUCUGGGCUAAUACCCCGGGGGGAUGACGGUACCGGAAGAAUAAGCACCGGCUAACUACGUG
rnacentral:rRNA from 1 species